UACAGAGGUCCCAAGCGUUGUUCGGAUUCACUGGGCGUAAAGGGUGCGUAGGUGGUGGGGUAAGUCGGAUGUGAAAGCUCGGAGCUCAACUCCGAAAUGGCAUUGGAAACUACCCUGCUAGAGGAUUGGAGGGGGGACUGGAAUACUUGGUGUAGCAGUGAAAUGCGUAGAUAUCUGGAGGAAUACCGGUGGCGAAGGCGGCAUCCUGGACCGGCAUUGGCGCUGAGUGAGCGAAAGCCAGGGGAGCAAACGGG
rnacentral:rRNA from 1 species